ensembl:antisense_RNA R102.15 ncRNA
CGAAGUGAAGUUUCCUCCAACAACCAAUGCAUCGGCUUGAAUAUUUUUCUCUCCUUGAGCUCCGGAAAUGUCUUGAAUAAUACGAUAAUGGCAAGAACUGAAAGAAUUAAUUUUAAUUAUUACCUCAACAUCGGGAACUUACUUCUCAGUCUUACAUAACGUAUUAACAGUUAAGACGAGUUCAACUUGUUGCGCCUUUUUGUGACAAUCAUGAGUUAUAUAUGCAACUGGUUUAUGUCCAUCAGAAAAGGAUUCGUCACCAUCCAUGGCUCCUUCCAUUCUAAAGCUGAAGUUUCCCGGUUUUGGGUGGUAAAAUUGUGGACGAGUGAUCUGUUCCAUUCCGGGCCUGAAACACCAUGGUUUUCUAAGAAAGGAAAUCCUGGAAACGCCGUUACAUAUGCCACUGUAAUAAACAGGAUGAGAAGUAUACGCAUCGUGAGCAAAACGUGGAUGUAAAGACGAUAAGUAGAAGGGUUGAAGAAAUUAUUGGAUUCUGGUAAAACAUAGGUGCUUUCACGUUUUUUGUCAUCACUGAAGGUCAAUUGAUA